UACGUAGGGUGCAAGCGUUAAUCGGAAUUACUGGGCGUAAAGCGUGCGCAGGCGGUCUUUUAAGUCAGAUGUGAAAUCCCCGGGCUUAACCUGGGAACUGCGUUUGAAACUGGAAGGCUAGAGUGUGGCAGAGGGGGAUGGAAUUCCGCGUGUAGCAGUGAAAUGCGUAGAUAUGCGGAGGAACACCGAUGGCGAAGGCAAUCCCCUGGGCCUGCACUGACGCUCAUGCACGAAAGCGUGGGGAGCAAACAGG
rnacentral:rRNA from 1 species